rnacentral:rRNA from 1 species
UACGAAGGGGGCUAGCGUUGUUCGGAAUUACUGGGCGUAAAGGGCGCGUAGGCGGUGUGUCAAGUCAGGCGUGAAAGCCCCGGGCUCAACCUGGGAAUUGCGAUGGAGACUGCAAGGCUAGAAUCUGGCAGAGGGGGGUAGAAUUCCACGUGUAGCAGUGAAAUGCGUAGAGAUGUGGAGGAACACCGAUGGCGAAGGCAGCCCCCUGGGUCAAGAUUGACGCUCAUGCACGAAAGCGUGGGGAGCAAACA